CAGGAGUAUGGGCUUUGACUCUGGGGUGACAAAAUGUUCGGGAACUAGACAGGAGUGAUGGUUGCACAACAUUGUAAAUGUACUAAAUGCAACUGAAUUGUACACCUUAAAAUACUUAAGUUAACCUCAAUAAAACAAAAAUAAUGAAAGAAAUUCAUGAUCGUGAUAAGAAAAUAUAUCUUUUUACACAACACAGAAUGGCACCACGUGACCUGUUUCACUUCCCUUUUGUACUCUCCAAAGGAAAUGAACAGAUGCCACAAUUUAGUAUGUACUCUUCUUCAAAGGUUUUCUAUAUAGAGAUGCACAGUAUGUGUAUAUGGGUAUUUAUGUGCAGAUAUUUCCUUUCUCUUUUACACAAGUGGGAUUAUGUUACUCUCAGCAUAUCGCCUUUUUUCCCUUGGCAAUAUAUCAAUGACCAUUCCAUAUCAAUACGUUUUUCUUAAUGACUCCAUUGUCUGGAAGUACCAUACUCUCCCCACCUCUCCAUCCUCAGAGUCCUGAAUUCCAACUCCCCUCCUGCCACACACUCCUCUGUGACUUUGACCUCCAUUGUUGCUUCUUCCCAUGGCAUUGUGAGGAGUCGCUAAUAUUCAGCAGGUGCCUGGCCCCAGGGGCUUUGUGAAAAUGACAGCUCUCUUCUCCCUCACUCUGCUACCCUAGGACCAGCUGAGGGUACUGAAGCAUAAUGCUGGAGAGUCUAGACUCCCCCUCUCGCUAGCUGUGUGACCUCGGGCAAGUUCCCCAGCCCCUCUGCGCCUCAGUUCCCUCCCCUGCGUUAAAGAUAGUAUCAGUCCUACAGGGUGGAGCUGGUGAAUCUGAGCACAGGGUCCAGCUCAGAGCUGGCUGCCCUCAUCUGAUCCUUCAGGAGGAAAAGUAGCCAAAGACUGGAAACAGCCGAGACAUCUAUCAACGAGAGAACGGAGAACCAACCUUGGUACAGCCAUCCAAUGGAAUACUCCUCAGCGGGCAGUGAAAGAGAACAAGCAUACGGAUCCAGGCCCCAACAUGGACCAAUCUCACAAACAUAAUGUUGAGUGAAAGAAGCCAGACUCAAGAGACUACAUUCUAUAUGACUCCAUUCAUACGAAGUUCAAGAACUAAAACUAAUCUAUGGUGAGGGAAGUCAGAAUAGCGGCUGCCAACACGGGAUGUUCUGGACAGGAAGCAAUAUCCAAGGAAGCCUUCUGGGGUGAUGGGGUUCAUGAUAUUCUGGUCACAUGGGUGUCUGCAUCGGUAAAAAAAAAAAAAAAAAAAGUACCCAGAGACAUAUUAAUAUUUGUUCAAAUUAAUGUAUG